AUUGAACGCUGGCGGCAGGCUUAACACAUGCAAGUCGAGCGGAGAUGAGGUGCUUGCACCUUAUCUUAGCGGCGGACGGGUGAGUAAUGCUUAGGAAUCUGCCUAUUAGUGGGGGACAACAUUCCGAAAGGAAUGCUGAUACCGCAUACGUCCUACGGGAGAAAGCAGGGGAUCUUCGGACCUUGCGCUAAUAGAUGAGCCUAAGUCGGAUUAGCUAGUUGGUGGGGUAAAGGCCUACCAAGGCGACGAUCUGUAGCGGGUCUGAGAGGAUGGUCCCGCCCAACGGGGAUGGGGAAAGGGCCCGGAUCCCACCGGGGGGGAGCGUGGGGAAUAUUGGGCAAAGGGGGGAAACCUGGACCAGGCAAGGCGGGUGUGGGAAGAAAGGCUUAAUGGUGUUAAGGCACUUAAGGCGGGAGGAGGGUUACGGAACUUAAUACUUUUGAUAGUGGACGUUACUCGCAGAAUAAGCACCGGCUAACUCUGUGCCAGCCGCCGCAGUAAUAC
rnacentral:rRNA from 1 species